UGUGUUUGUGUGUGUCUUCAGACCCUGUCCAUGAUCCUGGCUCGUCGUCUGUCCAAGGAGAGACCCAACGACGGGAUCCUGCUGAACGCCUGCUGUCCAGGAUGGGUGGGCACCGACAUGGGCGGUCCCAAGGCCACCAAGUCACCAGAGGAGGGCGCUGUCACGCCGGUCUACCUGGCCCUGCUGCCCCCCGGGGCCACAGACCCCCACGGCAAGUUCGUCUCUGA